rnacentral:rRNA from 1 species
AGUGAACGCUGGCGGCGUGCCUAAUACAUGCAAGUCGAACGGAGUGGCGCACGGGUGAGUAAUGUAUAGCUAAUCUGCCCUACACUAGAGGACAACAGUUGGAAACGACUGCUAAUACUCUAUAGUGUAGGAUGAGGCUAUAUUGUAUCAGCUAGUUGGUGAGGUAAUGGCUCACCAAGGCUAUGACGCAUAACUGGUCUGAGAGGAUGAGCAGUCACACUGGAAGGGAGACACGAUCCGGGAUCCUACGGGAAGGGGCGGUAGGGAGUACGGGUCAAGGGGGGUGAGCCAGAAGGAGCAUCGGAGCGUAGAGGAUGACAAUUUGCGAAGAAUAAACUCCUUUUGUUAGGGAAGCGGUACCUAACGAAUAAGCACCGGCUAACUCCGUGCCAGCCGCCGCGGUAAUUC